rnacentral:rRNA from 1 species
CUGUACGGCCAUACCACCCUGAGAACGCCCGAUCUCGUCUGAUCUCGGAAGCUAAGCAGGGUCGGGCCCGGUUAGUACUUGGAUGGGAGACCGCCUGGGAAUACCGGGUGCUGUAGGCUUUU